UCUGGCUCAGAACGAACGCUGGCGGCGCGUUUAAGCAUGCAAGUCGAGGGGUGGAGAAUCUUCGGAUUCUUGAGACCGGCGAACGGGUGAGUAACACGUAGGUGAUCUGCCACGAGGUUGGGGAUAGCCCAUGGAAACAUGGGGUAAUACCGAAUGAGCUCUUUUUACUAUGGUGAGAAGAGGAAAAGCGCUUCGGCGCUGCCUUGUGAUGAGCCUGCGGCUGAUUAGCUUGUUGGUGGGGUAACGGCCUACCAAGGCAACGAUCAGUAGCCGGCCUGAGAGGGUGAUCGGCCACACUGGGACUGAGAUACGGCCCAGACUCCUACGGGAGGCAGCAGCUAAGAAUCUUCCGCAAUGGACGAAAGUCUGACGGAGCGACGCCGCGUGGGUGAAGAAGGCCGAGAGGUUGUAAAGCCCUUUUCUGUCUGAGGAAUAAGCUUGGGAGGGAAUGCCCGGGUGAUGACGGUAGGACAGGAAUAAGCCCCGGCUAAUUACGUGCCAGCAGCCGCGGUAACACGUAUGGGGCGAGCGUUGUUCGGAAUUAUUGGGCGUAAAGGGCGCGUAGGCGGAUAUACAAGUCUGGUGUGAAAGACCGCAGCUUAACUGCGGGAGCGCGCUGGAAACUGUAUGUCUUGAAUCCUUGAGGGGAAACUGGAAUUCCUGGUGUAGGGGUGAAAUCUGUAGAUAUCAGGAAGAACAUCGGUGGCGAAGGCGAGUUUCUGGCAAGUGAUUGACGCUGAGGCGCGAAAGCGUGGGGAGCAAACAGGAUUAGAUACCCUGGUAGUCCACGCUGUAAACGAUGUGCACUAGGCGUUGGGGUGUUGAAACCUCAGUGCCGGAGCUAACGUGGUAAGUGCACCGNCUGGGGAGUAUGCCGGCAACGGUGAAACUCANAGGAAUUGACGGGGGCCCGCACAAGCGGUGGAGCUUGUGGUUUACUUCGAUGA
rnacentral:rRNA from 1 species